GGCCAGCAGUCAGGGAUGAUGGGAAUUGUUGUCCAAAAACAACUAGAGACCCAAGUUUGGGAAACACUGGUGCCAAGGUUCUCCACAUGAGGAAGGGAGGAGAUAUUGGGUCAAUCUUGACUUCCAGAAUCCAAAGAUCUCUAUCAUUUGUUCUUGAAGGCUUUGGAAUUGUUUCUUGAGCAGCAAACACACACAGCAUUGUGUAGCAAGUACCGAUAAAAUUCAAGAGCUGGUUAUAGACAUGAUGUGUGUUUGGUGUGAGGUAUGUUGCCUGUUAAAUACUAAAAUAUAUAUUUAAAAAAAUUCUCUAACACAGACGUCGCCAACAUGGUACACUCCAGAUGUUGCUGGACUCCAGUUUCCAUCAGCCCCAGUCAGCAUAGCCAGUGGCCAGACAGUAUGGGAGUUGUAGUCCAACAGCAUUUGAAUGAUGCACUUUGGCUACCCAUGGCCUCAAAUGUAACUGAAUAGAGAUAAGCUUUUUUUGGGGGGGGGACGACCUAAAACCACUAUUUGAACCCCAGCUUUAGUAUCCAACCUCUUCAGAGCAUCAGUUAUUGAGUCUCCUUGUUUCUUUUAAUGAAAAUUGCAUUGGGUCAACUUUCUACUUUGGAUCCUGGUCUUAGAAAACAACAUCAUUCUGGCUCGGGGAAUUGUCUGGGAGAGGAGAAUAGCUUUUGGUCUUGUUUGAGUAGUUUCAGGCGACUCGAUCCCUCGAUAGCAUCCUUGGAGAUGUCAGCAGAAAAUUGCCAACUGUGCCCCCUUGGUCUGCGAUGUCAAGGAAGUGACAUUGUAAUAUUUCAUUGCUUUAUGUCACCAGCAAAAGUGUAUUAGCAUUUCUUUUGGUUUAAAGGAACCCUCACUUUAUUUUCCCCUCUCCUGAAUGCUUGUUGAGAGGAGACCUGGGGGCCAGCUGAAAAGCCAGUCUUUGAGAAAGAAGAGAAGGAUGAGGGCAACUUUUUGUGUCAAACCAGAAUAGGCUCUAGAAAGCACCCUACAAAUGUAUUAGCUAUAUCAACAGCUACACCCCCACUCCCAGAGGAAAUGUGUUCCAUUUGAUUUUUGAUGCAUUAAAGUGGUGGGCAUGUAUCUGAUCUUGAUUGUUAUAUAUAGAAACGUGUUAGGAUGGAUAUUGAAUUAUUGAGAUUUGAAUGAAUGAUUUUAUUGCAGUCUGAAAUGUUGUUUAUUUAUGAGCCAGGAUAUCUAUGUUUAAUCAUACAGUGGUAAGCUUACAAGUCUUAAUCAAAGUUUAGGCUUAUUAUCAUGUUUUGUGUCUGUGCUUCUAUUUCUGCUCAUGAAUGGCCUUUUUCAUUUAUUGAUUCAUCUAAAAUUUUUAUAUCCUGCCUCAUCCUUCGAGGCAGCAUGGAAAGAGAAAGCAGAUCCUUAAAUCUCUAUUCACCCAAAAUGUGUUGGGAAUCAUAUGCUCUGUUGUUUUUGUAAUUUUGCCUUCCCAGAUGUUGCACUAGGAGAAGGCCAGGUCGUGCAACGUAACAGGUUGACCUUCUUCCUCCAUCAACAGCUGCAGCCCCCUGUACGUCUUGGAAAGCUUCUCAUGAUAACUGAAGGCUUGUCAAACGUUGUGAAUCAUAAGGGGUUGCAGGAGGAGGGAAUGAUCACCCCAAAUCAGGUAGAUGAAAUCAUGUGCUCUGUUUGUGCAGAACUAUUGCACCUGUUGUGAGGCUAUCAGCCUCUCCCAGUAUGAACCCAUACGGCUCAAUAUUUAGUAAGUACCUCCUAUACUCUGAAUCCAAACUUCAGUGUCUAAAAUCCCUGGUAGAGGACAAGGAUCCUGAGAUCACGUUAAGGGUAGCUAAAUUCUGUGUGAUUGCCAUAAAACUUAGGGAACAAGCUGUGCUAUCAUAAUGAUCAAGGUUUUAAAUGAUAAUUUUAGGUUAUAUGUUAGUGACUAAGAUCUGAUUUCUUUCCUCAGGGCCUGUAAGACAGAGUUGUUCCACCUGGCCUUUGGCUUAGAAACAGUUUGAUUCCCUCCCCCUCUUUCUUUUUCCUUUCUCCUCCUGUGAAGAGGCUGCAACCUAAUGUUUUAAUGUUGUAUUUUAAUCUUGUUUUUUAAAUUGUAUUUUAAUCAACUUGUUUUUAUUAUUGGUUGUUAGCCAUCCUGAGCCCGGUCUUGGCUAGGGAGGGCGGGGUAUAAAUUAUUAUUUAUUUAUUUUUAAACUGUUGCUAUAUCUGUUUUGUCCCUGUUAUACCUAAUUGCAAAUUCAAGUGUAUCUCUAUCGUGUUUUAUGGCUUCCUUGAUAUUGUAUGUGGGCUGGAACUGGUCUGUGACCGAAAUAAUAAAAUUCAUUCACUCCAAUACUCUGGAGAGGUGUUUGGGAAAGUACAGGUGCCUACAGGUGAGAAGUUAGUACAGGUAGGAAUGGGAUAGCUGUUUGCCCUGUCCGUGUCUGAGCUAGGAGACACACAGAUAUCUUGGUGUGAUGCCCACAAUCUUUUGCUGGGGUCACACUGGCUUAGGCUCAUUGUGCACAAUGAAAGUCAGUUAUGACUAAGUCCCACUACCGUAAGUGGGAUUAAACUGCACAGUUAAAUGCUUAAGUCAUGGGAGGCUUAGAGUUUCCAGUGCAAGCCCCGCUUAUGUCCUCCAUGCGACACAUGCACAAAUGCGGGGAGAAACGAUCACACGUGGAUGCAGCUGGCAGCGACCUCUGUCACUUGCUGUGCUUCUGUCAGCCACUGUUUUGCUACUUCCUUAGGGUUGGCUAAAGCUUUUAUCUAGCACUUCAUUGGAGAGGGCUAGGAGAGCUGUUUUAUUCUAGGAGAGAUGAUUACUCAACCUCACACAUGUUCUGAUUUUCCUAUGCGCGCUCUCUCUCUCUCUCUCUCUCUCUCUCACACACACACACACACACAUUUUCCAUGUUCCAAGUUUGCAGCCAAUGCUGUUUCUCUGAGCAUGGCAGUUCUUAUGCUUUGUUUUCCUCUAAUUCAGAUCUGGCCUUUAUAAGAGACCGGCAGCUUUUUUCUCAGAGGGUGGAGUUUCUCACUGUACACGGACCAUUAAUCCUCAAUGCUCAGGGGGCUGGAUUUUAGGAGAGGAGUAAUCCAUUUCUCUUUUUAAUACAAUUCCCUUUGU
rnacentral:lncRNA from 1 species